UGGCGAUUCGUCUAGCGGUAGGACCCCAGACUCUGAAUCUGGUAACCCAGGUUCGAAUCCUGGAUCGCCAGCCA
rnacentral:tRNA from 1 species